rnacentral:rRNA from 1 species
CCUACGGGAGGCAGCAGUGGGGAAUAUUGGACAAUGGGGGGAACCCUGAUCCAGCGACGCCGCGUGAGUGAAGAAGUAUUUCGGUAUGUAAAGCUCUAUCAGCAGGGAAGAAAGAAAUGACGGUACCUGACUAAGAAGCCCCGGCUAACUACGUGCCAGCAGCCGCGGUAAUACGUAGGGGGCAAGCGUUAUCCGGAUUUACUGGGUUUAAAGGGAGCGUAGACGGCGAUGCAAGUCUGAAGUGAAAGGCGGGGGCCCAACCCCCGGACUGCUUUGGAAACUGUAUGGCUGGAGUGCAGGAGAGGUAAGUGGAAUUCCUAGUGUAGCGGUGAAAUGCGUAGAGAUUAGGAGGAACACCAGUGGCGAAGGCGGCUUACUGGACUGUAACUGACGUUGAGGCUCGAAAGCGUGGGGAGCAAACAGGAUUAGAUACCCCUGUAGUC